rnacentral:rRNA from 1 species
GACGAACGCUGGCGGCGUGCUUAACACAUGCAAGUCGAACGGAAAGGCCCCCACCUUGGUGGGGGUGCUCGAGUGGCGAACGGGUGAGUAACACGUGGGUGAUCUGCCCUGUACUUCGGGAUAAGCUUGGGAAACUGGGUCUAAUACCGGAUAGGACCAUGGUUUAGUGUCUCAUGGUGGAAAAAUUAUUGUUUUGGUGCAGGAUGAGCUCGCGGCCUAUCAGCUUGUUGGUGGGGUAAUGGCCUACCAAGGCGUCGACGGGUAGCCGGCCUGAGAGGGUGGACCGCCACAUUGGGAAUGAGAUACGGCCCAGAACCCUACGGGAGGCAGCAGUGGGGAAUAUUGACCAAUGGGCGCAAGCCUGAUGCAGCGACGCCGCGUGGGGGAUGACGGCCUUCGGGUUGUAAACUCCUUUCGUUAGGGACGAAGCCACACCUUUUUUGGGUGUGGUGACGGUACCUUUGUUAAGAAGCACCGGCUAACUACGUG